GUUAGAAAUGUGGAGGUGCAAACUUUGUCCAGUAGAAUUUAUAACCUCUGGGAAAGACAAGAAGAAACAACAUGAACACAUAUAACUCACACAGACGGGAUUUGUGCUACUCACACUAACCAUGCAAGGUUCCCAGACAACUGUCUCAGUGGUCUCAGCACUUACUUCUCUGAUGGAGGAGCAUCAUUCUUGAACUGCUAUUGACUGGAGCAUUUCACCAAGGCAGGAAAAAUGCAUUGAUGAGAGGCGAACUGGGAUCCUUGAAGAACUCUGAAAUGACUCCUCUGAAGGUGGGAGAUGGCAGUGAUGCUGCUGCAGAGGAACUGGUUUCCCUAGUUUUAAGAGGAGUAGUAGAGACCAGCCUAUCUUUUUCAGUCUAACUUUCGUGGCCCUGGCUGAAGAACCUAGGAUGCAGAGAGAAAAGGUGUUUUUUUCUUCUAUACUAUCCAUACACCAAGAGCAAGGAGCUGACAGUGCAGAUACAUGAGUAAUACAGCUACAGACAGUGACAGCCAAGAGAAAUGGCCCCUCAUGGGUCAACCUACGUUUCUGUGGCUGUGGUAGGUGUAUACCUGGCUUACUUGACAUCCAAAAUGGAUUCAUCUUAUCGAUCUUCACCUAUGAAACAAAAUUAU